AGAUAGAUAGAUAGAGAGAGAGAAAGAGAGAGCGAGAGAAUAUAGAGAGAAUAGAGAAGGAGAGGAGCGAAGGGACCAAACAUGUUGGCGACUGUACAACUGUUCACUGCGGUUGGCAUCAUGCUCUCUUAUGGACGACACCCGCACGCAGCCUCCUGGUGGACCAAAUCUAUACACACAUUGCAAGGGCCCAACGUGUGCGGCUUUGAAGAGAUGCGUGCGAAUCCACAGACGAGAUUCUUCACGGAAUGUAGGUCUGGUUCUAAUAACCACGUAUGCGGAAAACCAACUUUGCUCCUGACGAGAUGGAACUCCGAGUCAAACUACUUGGAUAAUUCAUGUCGUAUGACCCUCAACCAAGAAGUCUGCGGUCAGCCAACGAUCGUCAGGUUCGAGUGCUGCGAUGGAUACGAACAAGUGGAUAACUUACCAGGAUGCUCCGGAAUGAAACCCAUGACAGACUUGUUAACGACGGCAAAGGAGCUACGAUUGUCGGAAGCCGUGAUGCUAGCUAGGGACCCAGAAAUCAACACAAUACUAAGAAAGCAAGGGGCGUUCACUUGGUUUGUACCGCAUAACGAGGCUCUGUCCAAACUGUCGAGCCAAAUGACAGCGCAGCUUCGCGGCCCCCGUGACCGGAGCGCCACCUCCACACUGCUCUACCACGUAGCGAAGAGACGGGUGAUGACGUCAGAGUUUGGUGCUGACGCGCUUCAGGAAACUCUUUACUUCGACGGAAACGUUCGCCUGAACAGAUACGCUAAUGGGGCUGUCACCGUCAACUGCGCUCGCGUCGUUCAGCCCGACCGUCGCGCGACGAACGGCGUCAUUCACGUCAUCGACCGCGUCCUGACGCCGCCGGACACUCGCGUCUCCGUCAUGACGGUUCUCAAGCGUGACGCGAGGUUCCAACGCUUCGCAUCAGCCAUUGUGGAUGCUGGCCUGGAGGCGGAGCUGCUCUCUGUCGGGGGUGGAGUCACGGUGUUUGCUCCCACCGACGAUGCCUUUCGUAAGGUGUCCGGCGAUCUCCUUCGUAGCAUUCUGGCAGACCGCGAUGCACUUAGAGUUGUCGUACAGAGUCACGUCGUCGACAACUUUAUCUGUGGGCGCUGCGAUCGUGCGACGGCUGCAGUUGUUGAGCAGGUCGGUCGCUAGGCGUCGGGAGUCAACCUGUUCGUGUUCGGCUGGCAGUCGCAUCUCCGUCGGACGCGGCCACGUCGUCGAGCAGACAUCUUGGCUGACGACGCCGUCAUACACGCCGUGGACCGUGUCAUCCUUCCUGACUCAGCAAAGAGUCUGGUCGAAAAUCUGGAAGCGUACGGGCUGACGUACUUUCGUCGCUACCUCCGCCUGCUGUCUCCUGGGCUCCUUGGUCAGAGUUCGCGACGACCCUACACACUGUUCGUGCCGAGCGAUCGAGCCUUCAUCGAGCUUGGUACGCAGAGGCUGGAACAGAUAUCUAGAAACAGGGUGCAGCUUCGCAGGCUCCUGCUCUAUCACAUGGGAGGAGGGAAACU